CCUUACGGGUUGUAAAGUCUCCUUUCGGCUAGGGAACAAGAAAGAUUGGUUAAUAACCAGUCGAUUUGAUGGUACUUCGGUAAAGAAGCACCGGCUAACUCCCGUGC
rnacentral:rRNA from 1 species